rnacentral:rRNA from 1 species
UUAAAUUGAAGAGUUUGAUCAUGGCUCAGAUUGAACGCUGGCGGCAGGCCUAACACAUGCAAGUCGAACGGUAACAGAAAGAAGCUUGCUUCUUUGCUGACGAGUGGCGGACGGGUGAGUAAUGUCUGGGAAACUGCCUGAUGGAGGGGGAUAACUACUGGAAA